GUGGGAGCUGAGCUUGCUCGCGAUGGCGGUGGAUCAGUCGGCAUCUAAGUAGGCUGAUCCAACGCCAUCGCGAGCAAGCUCAGCUCCCAC
rnacentral:misc_RNA from 1 species